rnacentral:rRNA from 1 species
UACGGAGGGAGCUAGCGUUGUUCGGAAUUACUGGGCGUAAAGCACACGUAGGCGGCUUUGUAAGUUAGAGGUGAAAGCCCGGGGCUCAACCCCGGAAUUGCCUUUAAGACUGCAUCGCUUGAAUCCGGGAGAGGUGAGUGGAAUUCCGAGUGUAGAGGUGAAAUUCGUAGAUAUUCGGAAGAACACCAGUGGCGAAGGCGGCUCACUGGACCGGUAUUGACGCUGAGGUGCGAAAGCGUGGGGAGCAAACAGG